rnacentral:lncRNA from 1 species
UGAAAUUCUCUUCCUCUCUUUCUCUCACACCGUGCUUCACCUCUCCUCUGUUUCUUCACACCUCGCUGAUUUCUUUCUCUUUGAUCUUUGUAAAUGCUGCAACUACCUCGAAACACUCCUUUGAUUUAUCUCUGUUAUGGUAUCAGAGCUCUUCUUUGAGAAGAGCUCUGCUGCGCGCACUCUGUCUUCGUUCUCUCAAGAUUACUUUCCUUUCUUUUCUUUACUUUUUGUGCAUUCAUCCUGUUUUGUAUCUUCUUGAUUCUCUCUAACGAUUGUUUUAUUUCUACAGUUCGUGUUCUUUUUGCACGCAAAUGGCUGACGAGAAUAGUGAAGGGAGCGAAAGCCCUAGUUCCAAUC